GGGUGAGUAACGCGUGAGAAUUUGCCCUUCAGUGAGGAAUACCCUCGAGAAAUCGAGGCUAAUACUGCAUACGUCCCUACGGGGAGAAAGGUGGCCUAUUUGCUACCGCUGAAGGAUAAGCUUGCGUACUAUUAGCUAGUUGGUGAGGUAAAGGCUCACCAAGGCGAUGAUGGUUAACCGGCCUGAGAGGGUGUACGGUCACACUGGAACUUAGACACGGUCCAGACUCC
rnacentral:rRNA from 1 species